rnacentral:rRNA from 1 species
GAUGAACGCUGGCGGCGUGCCUAAUACAUGCCAGUCGAGCGAACAGACGAGGAGCUUGCUCCUCUGACGUUAGCGGCGGACGGGUGAGUAACACGUGGAUAACCUACCUAUAAGACUGGGAUAACUUCGGGAAACCGGAGCUAAUACCGGAUAAUAUAUUGAACCGCAUGGUUCAAUAGUGAAAGACGGUUUUGCUGUCACUUAUAGAUGGAUCCGCGCCGCAUUAGCUAGUUGGUAAGGUAACGGCUUACCAAGGCAAUGAUGCGUAGCCGACCUGAGAGGGUGAUCGGCCACACUGGAACUGAGACACGGUCCAGACUCCUACGGGAGGCAGCAGUAGGGAAUCUUCCGCAAUGGGCGAAAGCCUGACGGAGCAACGCCGCGUGAGUGAUGAAGGUCUUCGGAUCGUAAAACUCUGUUAUUAGGGAAGAACAAAUGUGUAAGUAACUAUGCACGCCUUGACGGUACCUAAUCAGAAAGCCACGGCUAACUACGUG